GCCUCCGUGGCGAAAUGGUAUACGCAGUUGACUUAAAAUCGAUCGCUUCGGCUUGUGGGUUCGAGUCCCACCGGAGGCACCU
rnacentral:tRNA from 1 species